ensembl:lncRNA
CUUCAUUGCUGUGCGUGGGCUUUCUCUAGUUGCAUCAAGUGGGGGCUGUUCUUUGUGGUGCGUGGGCUUCUCAUUGUGGUGGCUUGUCUUAUUGCAGGCUCUAGACCAUGCAGGUUCUGUUGUUGUGACUCGCAGUCAGUACUUGCAGCUCGAAGUUGUGGCACACAGGUUUAGUUGCCCCCCUGGCAUGUGAAAUCUUCCCGAAAGGGAUCCAGCCCACAUCCCCUGCAUUGGCAGGCAGAUUCUUAACCACUGAACCACCAGGGAAGUCUGGGUAAAUGUUAUUAAUACACACAUUCUAGAAAUUUAUAUGGAACUUCUAAAAUUCUGGUAUAUCCUGGAAAUGGUAUAAGUCAUUAAUUAUCUUGAAUUGUUUGUCAUGGCAGUAAUCAAGUUUCUGUUCAAUUACAUUGUAAUCUCCAUUGGUUGGUGCCAAAGCAAAAAGGGCAUCCUUUUAAUAGAUCAAUUGCUAGCUUUGGUUUUACAGUAGCUUUCAAAUGACUAUAGCUAUUUUGUGAAGAAACAGGGAAGAAUGGUGAAAUCCUUUAUGUGCAAGCAUUUAUACAAUUAUCAGAGAAAAGAAGGGAAUGAAAAUGAUGAUCUGUUGCUUCAGACCUUAACUUCUCUGGCUGUUAAGCCAAUAUAUCCACCCCUUCUCUCAGUUCUGCUCCUAUCCAGUUCCAGUUCCUGACACAGAGGAGUAGGACUUCCCCUCCUUAUAGAGGUCAAUUAGAAAAUUCUGUGUUAGUUUCUGAGUCACUGGGACUUGGUCUGAUAUCGCCAUCUAAGACCCGACAGGGCACCCAAUUUGGGCCAAGAGCCACUUUCCAGACCUGGCAAUUUCCCUUGCACCAAUAUCUCUUAUGGGGCCUAAAAGCAAACAACUAGCCAGCUGGGUUUAUCUUUAGUUGGAAAUACUGCAACCCUCCUUAUACGUAUCUUCUACACCUGAAGCCCACUUGGCAGAACCCACAGCUGACCCAAAUUAGAACCCCAGUGAGGGAAGAAUGCCCUUAUUCAAGCAUUACUUAUUAGUGCAUCUUGGCAGGGCUCUGAAAACAAAAACCAGAGCAAGAGUUUAAACAAAAUUCAAGAAAUUCUGCAAAACAAAUGAAGACCUUUCUGAAUUUUUGGAAGGAACUUAUCAGGGCUACAGAUGUCAUACUGACGCAGGUCCCAAGGCCCCUGAAAAUGUUAGAGUGGGAAAUUUGACCUUUUUGGGCAAAAUGCCUCAGGUAUCAAGAACAAGUUGCAGAAAUUAGAUGGUACCUUUAGAAUGAACCCUUCUCAAUUGGUAGAUGUUGCUUUUAAAAGUAUUCAACAGAAAACAAUAGAAGAAAGAAGAAGCAAGAUGAAAUGCCAAGUUUUUGGCAGCGGCACUGGAUUCCCAGAGGCAAGGAACUGAAGAGGUAAGUGUUGAGGAAGGAACAAUGUCUUACUGUAAGGAGGAGGAACAGAGGAAAACAGAUUGCCCUCAGCUAAAGCAGAAGGCAACAAUAAAAGACUUGAGCAUCUUAUGCAGGAGAAAGUGAGGAACCCUCUGAAUGAAGAGGCCCAGGGCCUCCUUUGGGCUUGAGGUGCCUAAUUCCCCACAGGAGCCCAGGGUAAAAUGGACAGUGGGGAACAAGCUGAUUAAUGGAUAGACCUCACCCUGAAGUUUUUCACUGGAAUAUCUUGACAUCAGAGUUCCACCAGAACGCGUUAAGCCUAUAGCUGGAGCUCAUGAAAAUCCCCAAAAAGGAGACAAGAGCCCUCUCCCCCCAGGGUCUUAAAAAUAACCUAAAGACUGCUGUCAGACCUCCCCAGACACAACACAGAGGAACCUGUCCCGCCAAGGACUGAAAACUAGACUUUACUAAGAUGCCUUGGAUCGCAAGAAACUUCAGACAACCCUUCACAGGUGCUGAAGCCCACCUGAGAAUGACUGUAAGGAGGAAGAAAUUAGCACAUCCCUUCAGAGGCUAAUGGGAAACAGGAAAUCCCUGGAAAGGACAGGCUUGGAGUGGUGGUGAGGGUGUAGGUUGAAAGUUCAAAGGCUACUGAGGUUACAGUGAGUAGCAAAGCAGAGUACCUCCACUUCAAUUACAAAGUUCAAGAAGGCAAGAAACCCCCUGAAGACGGAAUUGAAACAGCAGAUGCCUCAGAGCUCUGACUGCUGACAAUGCUGAAAACAUGAAGAGACUCCGUUUUCUGUCUGGAUUGUUAUGGAGCAGACACUCUCGGUUUAUACCCUCCAGGGGAGAUGGAGAGAUGCUUUCUGUAAAUAAGAAUGAGUGACUUGAAGGUGAUCUGUUUAAAUAGUCAGCUUGGGUUGUCCUUACCUCUCAGGAAAACAAGCAGCCCCAUACAGCUGAAUGUCUUUUGGUGUUAUUAAGGAGAAUGACACCAGGGCUGUGAAGUUAGUCACUGACUUUACAUCUAUAUGUACCUGUUUUAUCUUGUUUUGCAAAUACUGUUUGGCUUCUUGUUUGUUGUUUGUUUUUUAAUAAAUCGAAGAUCUGUGGCAACCCUGCAUCAAGCCAGUAAUUUUUCUAGCAGCAUUUGCUUCCUUCCUGACUUUGUCACAUUUUGGUAAUUCUUGCACUAUUUCAAACCUUUUCAUUAUUUGUUAUGGUGAGCUGUGAUGUUACUAUUGUAACACCUAUCCACUGAUGUUACUACUAUAAUUGUUUGGGGGCACCACAAACUGUACCCAUGUCAGAUGACAAACUUAAUCAAUAAAUAUUUGUGUUCUGACUGCUCCACCAACAAGCCUUUCUCCAUCUCUCUCCCUUUACUAGGGCCUUCCUAUUCCCUGAGGCACAAUAAUACUGAGAUCAGGCCAAUUGUAACCCUUUAAUGGCAUCCAGGUGUUCAAGUGAAAGUCACACAUCUCUCACUUUAAGUCAAAAACUAAAAAUGAUUAAGUUUAAUGAUUAAGCUUAGUGAGGAAGGCAUGUCAAAUGCUGAGACAGGUCAAAAGCUGGGCCUCUUGCAC